rnacentral:tRNA from 1 species
AUUAAGAUGGCUGAGUUAGGUAAUAAACUGUAAAUUUAUUUAUGAAUUAAAAAUUCUCUUAAUA